GGAUGUGAGGGCGAUCUGGCUGCGACAUCUGUCACCCCAGGGUUGAUUUGGCUGAUCUGGCUGGCUAGGCGGGUGUCCCCUUCCGCCCUCACCGCUCCAUGUGCGUCCCUCCAGAAGCUGCGCACUCUGUUGAAGAGGAAGACCUUCCCUGAGUAGAGACAGACCGGUCUUAGGUCGAGGGUAUAGGAGUAGCUGCGCUCCCCUGCUAGAACCUCCAAACAAACUCUCAAUGCUGGAAUAGUUCAGAUGAAGUGUUGUGGGGGGGUUCCUACAUUUUGUAGAUAGCUAGUAGGUGUAUUUUAGUUAUUUUU
rfam:Erinaceus europaeus unplaced genomic scaffold scaffold00692, whole genome shotgun sequence